GGGAACGUGCCCUUCGGUUCGGAAUAACUCAGGGAAACUUGAGCUAAUACCGGAUACGCCCUUUUGGGGAAAGGUUUACCGCCGAAGGAUCGGCCCGCGUCUGAUUAGCUUGUUGGUGGGGUAACGGCCUACCAAGGCGACGAUCAGUAGCUGGUCUGAGAGGAUGAUCAGCCACACUGGGACUGAGACACGGCCCAGACUCCUACGGGAGGCAGCAGUGGGGAAUAUUGGACAUGGGCGCAAGCCUGAUCCAGCCAUGCCGCGUGAGUGAUGAAGGCCUUAGGGUUGUAAAGCUCUUUCACCGAUGAAGAUAAUGACGGUAGUCGGAGAAGAAGCCCCGGCUAACUUCGUGCCAGCAGCCGCGGUAAUACGAAGGGGGCUAGCGUUGUUCGGAAUUACUGGGCGUAAAGCGCACGUAGGCGGAUAUUUAAGUCAGGGGUGAAAUCCCAGAGCUCAACUCUGGAACUGCCUUUGAUACUGGGUAUCUUAAGUAUGGAAGAGGUAAGUGGAAUUGCGAGU
rnacentral:rRNA from 1 species